UGGGGAAUAUUGCACAAUGGGGGAAACCCUGAUGCAGCGACGCCGCGUGAGCGAAGAAGUAUUUCGGUAUGUAAAGCUCUAUCAGCAGGGAAGAUAAUGACGGUACCUGACUAAGAAGCUCCGGCUAAAUACGUGCCAGCAGCCGCGGUAAUACGUAUGGAGCAAGCGUUAUCCGGAUUUACUGGGUGUAAAGGGAGCGUAGACGGUUGUGCAAGUCUGAUGUGAAAUUCCAGGGCUUAACCCUGGACCUGCAUUGGAAACUGUAUAACUAGAGUGUCGGAGAGGUGAGUGGAAUUCCUAGUGUAGCGGUGAAAUGCGUAGAUAUUAGGAGGAACACCAGUGGCGAAGGCGGCUCACUGGACGAUAACUGACGUUGAGGCUCGAAAGCGUGGGGAGCAAACAGGAUUAGAUACCC
rnacentral:rRNA from 1 species